AACGAACGCUGGCGGCAUGCCUAACACAUGCAAGUCGAACGAUCCCUUCGGGGUUAGUGGCGCACGGGUGCGUAACGCGUGGGAACCUGCCCUUAGGUUCGGAAUAACUCAGAGUAAUUUGAGCUAAUACCGGAUAAUGUCUUCGGACCAAAGAUUUAUCGCCUUUGGAUGGGCCCGCGUUAGAUUAGCUAGUUGGUGGGGUAAAGGCCUACCAAGGCGACGAUCCAUAGCUGGUCUGAGAGGAUGAUCAGCCACACUGGGAAUGAGACACGGCCCAGACUCCUACGGGAGGCAGCAGUGGGGAAUAUUGGACAAUGGGCGAAAGCCUGAUCCAGCAAUGCCGCGUGAGUGAUGAAGGCCUUAGGGUUGUAAAGCUCUUUUACCCGGGAUGAUAAUGACAGUACCGGGAGAAUAAGCCCCGGCUAACUACGUG
rnacentral:rRNA from 1 species